GGUUAAGCGACUAAGCGUACACGGUGGAUGCCCUGGCAGUCAGAGGCGAUGAAGGACGUGCUAAUCUGCGAUAAGCGUCGGUAAGGUGAUAUGAACCGUUAUAACCGGCGAUUUCCGAAUGGGGAAACCCAGUGUGUUUCGACACACUAUCAUUAACUGAAUCCAUAGGUUAAUGAGGCGAACCGGGGGAACUGAAACAUCUAAGUACCCCGAGGAAAAGAAAUCAACCGAGAUUCCCCCAGUAGCGGCGAGCGAACGGGGAGCAGCCCAGAGCCUGAAUCAGUGUGUGUGUUAGUGGAAGCGUCUGGAAAGGCGCGCGAUACAGGGUGACAGCCCCGUACACAAAAAUGCACAUGCUGUGAGCUCGAUGAGUAGGGCGGGACACGUGGUAUCCUGUCUGAAUAUGGGGGGACCAUCCUCCAAGGCUAAAUACUCCUGACUGACCGAUAGUGAACCAGUACCGUGAGGGAAAGGCGAAAAGAACCCCGGCGAGGGGAGUGAAAAAGAACCUGAAACCGUGUACGUACAAGCAGUGGGAGCACAGAGCAAUCUGUGUGACUGCGUACCUUUUGUAUAAUGGGUCAGCGACUUAUAUUCUGUAGCAAGGUUAACCGAAUAGGGGAGCCGAAGGGAAACCGAGUCUUAACUGGGCGUUAAGUUGCAGGGUAUAGACCCGAAACCCGGUGAUCUAGCCAUGGGCAGGUUGAAGGUUGGGUAACACUAACUGGAGGACCGAACCGACUAAUGUUGAAAAAUUAGCGGAUGACUUGUGGCUGGGGGUGAAAGGCCAAUCAAACCGGGAGAUAGCUGGUUCUCCCCGAAAGCUAUUUAGGUAGCGCCUCGUGAAUUCAUCUCCGGGGGUAGAGCACUGUUUCGGCAAGGGGGUCAUCCCGACUUACCAACCCGAUGCAAACUGCGAAUACCGGAGAAUGUUAUCACGGGAGACACACGGCGGGUGCUAACGUCCGUCGUGAAGAGGGAAACAACCCAGACCGCCAGCUAAGGUCCCAAAGUCAUGGUUAAGUGGGAAACGAUGUGGGAAGGCCCAGACAGCCAGGAUGUUGGCUUAGAAGCAGCCAUCAUUUAAAGAAAGCGUAAUAGCUCACUGGUCGAGUCGGCCUGCGCGGAAGAUGUAACGGGGCUAAACCAUGCACCGAAGCUGCGGCAGCGACGCUGAUGCGUUGUUGGGUAGGGGAGCGUUCUGUAAGCCUGUGAAGGUGUGCUGUGAGGCAUGCUGGAGGUAUCAGAAGUGCGAAUGCUGACAUAAGUAACGAUAAAGCGGGUGAAAAGCCCGCUCGCCGGAAGACCAAGGGUUCCUGUCCAACGUUAAUCGGGGCAGGGUGAGUCGACCCCUAAGGCGAGGCCGAAAGGCGUAGUCGAUGGGAAACAGGUUAAUAUUCCUGUACUUGGUGUUACUGCGAAGGGGGGACGGAGAAGGCUAUGUUGGCCGGGCGACGGUUGUCCCGGUUUAAGCGUGUAGGCUGGUUUUCCAGGCAAAUCCGGAAAAUCAAGGCUGAGGCGUGAUGACGAGGCACUACGGUGCUGAAGCAACAAAUGCCCUGCUUCCAGGAAAAGCCUCUAAGCAUCAGGUAACAUCAAAUCGUACCCCAAACCGACACAGGUGGUCAGGUAGAGAAUACCAAGGCGCUUGAGAGAACUCGGGUGAAGGAACUAGGCAAAAUGGUGCCGUAACUUCGGGAGAAGGCACGCUGAUAUGUAGGUGAAGCGACUUGCUCGUGGAGCUGAAAUCAGUCGAAGAUACCAGCUGGCUGCAACUGUUUAUUAAAAACACAGCACUGUGCAAACACGAAAGUGGACGUAUACGGUGUGACGCCUGCCCGGUGCCGGAAGGUUAAUUGAUGGGGUCAGCGCAAGCGAAGCUCUUGAUCGAAGCCCCGGUAAACGGCGGCCGUAACUAUAACGGUCCUAAGGUAGCGAAAUUCCUUGUCGGGUAAGUUCCGACCUGCACGAAUGGCGUAAUGAUGGCCAGGCUGUCUCCACCCGAGACUCAGUGAAAUUGAACUCGCUGUGAAGAUGCAGUGUACCCGCGGCAAGACGGAAAGACCCCGUGAACCUUUACUAUAGCUUGACACUGAACAUUGAGCCUUGAUGUGUAGGAUAGGUGGGAGGCUUAGAAGUGUGGACGCCAGUCUGCAUGGAGCCGACCUUGAAAUACCACCCUUUAAUGUUUGAUGUUCUAACGUUGACCCGUAAUCCGGGUUGCGGACAGUGUCUGGUGGGUAGUUUGACUGGGGCGGUCUCCUCCUAAAGAGUAACGGAGGAGCACGAAGGUUGGCUAAUCCUGGUCGGACAUCAGGAGGUUAGUGCAAUGGCAUAAGCCAGCUUGACUGCGAGCGUGACGGCGCGAGCAGGUGCGAAAGCAGGUCAUAGUGAUCCGGUGGUUCUGAAUGGAAGGGCCAUCGCUCAACGGAUAAAAGGUACUCCGGGGAUAACAGGCUGAUACCGCCCAAGAGUUCAUAUCGACGGCGGUGUUUGGCACCUCGAUGUCGGCUCAUCACAUCCUGGGGCUGAAGUAGGUCCCAAGGGUAUGGCUGUUCGCCAUUUAAAGUGGUACGCGAGCUGGGUUUAGAACGUCGUGAGACAGUUCGGUCCCUAUCUGCCGUGGGCGCUGGAGAACUGAGGGGGGCUGCUCCUAGUACGAGAGGACCGGAGUGGACGCAUCACUGGUGUUCGGGUUGUCAUGCCAAUGGCACUGCCCGGUAGCUAAAUGCGGAAGAGAUAAGUGCUGAAAGCAUCUAAGCACGAAACUUGCCCCGAGAUGAGUUCUCCCUGAC
rnacentral:rRNA from 1 species